AAUCAACGCUGGCGGCGUGCCUCAGACAUGCAAGUCGAACGAUUAAAGCUCUCUUCGGAGAGUGCAUAGAGUGGCGCACGGGUGAGUAACACGUAAGUAAUCUACCUUCGAGUGGGGAAUAACAGUCGGAAACGACUGCUAAUACCGCAUAAUGCAGCGGCAUCGCAAGAUGACAGUUGUUAAAGGAGCAAUUCGCUUGAAGAGGAGCUUGCGGCAGAUUAGCUUGUUGGUAAGGUAACGGCUUACCAAGGCUACGAUCUGUAACCGGUCUAAGAGGACGGUCGGUCACACUGACACUGAAUAACGGGUCAGACUCCUACGGGAGGCAGCAGUCGGGAAUUUUGGUCAAUGGGCGAAAGACCUGACCCAGCAACGCCGCGUGAAGGAUGAAGUAUUUCGGUAUGUAAACUUCGAAGAAUGGGAAGAAUCAAUGACGGUACCAUUUAUAAGGUCCGGCUAACUACGUGCCAGCAGCC
rnacentral:rRNA from 1 species